UCGACUGGUUAACAGAAAAGAAAAACAGACAAUAGAGAGGGAUUAUUAACACAACGUUUGUGAAACAAGAAUUGAGUGGAAGCGAUUGGUUGCAUAAUGUGCUUAAUCGAAAAUGGUACGCUAACUUGUGCCUCGGGUAUCGCGCGAGCACAGUGACCAAUUAUGCGAUUCAAUUGAAACUUCACUGAUUUACAUUAUCAACAAUGCAAUACCACUACACUAAUCAACAAAAGGCAUUUUAACAUAUUUAUAAAUUUCACUAAAUAACACGAGAAAAAUAAUAAAAUUGUGUGACUUAUGUGAUCAUUAGCAUAUAAAAUUAUAAUAUUAAUCCAUUAAUUUCUGUUUCAGUAAAUUCUUUCCCUCUUCAUAUCUUUAAAAAAAAUCAGUAAAUGAUUUGUAUAAGAUACCGAUAUUGUACGAAAUGUUUAGAAAGUUGCAAAUAUAAAAGUUGAUUCAUGAAAAGCUCGUGUGUAUGAAUAAAUUAUUUUUAAAUUUGAAUCACGAUCAUGAAACUUACACAGGUAAUCAGCGUUCGGAUAAUUGGCGCUCAACUGUACAAGCACGUAAGAAAGAAAGACACGUACCGAAAGUAGAUGGCAACGUCGGUGCCAAUGGUAGAACUUGCCAAAAGUCCUGUGUAGGACAAAAAACCAACGGGUGCUGAACCAAACAAAUAAGAAGGAAAAUUAAUGGAAAGCCACUAAGUACAAUGCAAGAGAGAGAAGAUUCAAGUACUGAUAGAUUGAUGCGGAAAAUUUGGCAAGUGGUAGUACGAUACAGGAACGAGUAAAAUGCAUCAAUAAAAAAAAAAAUAAUAAUAAUACAAGUUUUUAACUAAUUGAAUAAAAAUAUGAAAUGAGAUUAGAGCCAGCCUUGUGCACAAGGAUAUGUGAUAAAUAAUCGAUUCGCACAUUCGCACAUAGUAUACACAUAAUACUUUGUAUGCUAAGCUAACGCGAAGCAGUUUAUAUACGUAUUUCGUGUAUGCUUUGUGUUUUAUGUAAGUCGAAUUCACGACUAGGAGAAUGAUUAACGCGAGAAUAGUUAUCUGGCUGAAAUGAAUGUUGGACGAUAAUUAUGUUUCUUCGCUAACAACAUAGAAGUAACUGGUAACUUUAAACAACUCCGAUUGAUAUUAUCGGUAUUAUUAUUCAUUAUAUAGUUAUCUUCGACUGCUUCUCGAAUGUUAAGGUAAAAUUUAAUUUCCUGUUUUUCCUCGUUGUUUAUCAGUAUCCUCUAGGUAACAAGUAUUGACAUUUCUCUUUAAAUUUCAAUCUGUUUUAUUUCACGAUCUUCCGAUCAUAAAUUGUCAAUGGAAUCGAGUCUUGAUACAACGAUAUCAAGAGAGUAUGAUUUAUCGAAGGCGAACAACAAACAAAUUGAUCCCCGUCGUUGGAGUUUAAUUGAAUGACUUUAAUUAAUUCUUAGCGAGACGGUGGAUGCUUGAUAAUUGUGAUUAUAAGGAAAGAGAAUGGUCAUUGUACCAAAUGAGAUCGUCACAAAUACACGAGAGCUAAAAAUACGUUGGUACUUAAAAAGAUAAAUAGCACUCUGAAUGAAAAUAGAAAUUGAGACUAAAAUUAUUUAGUGCAAAUAAAAAAUAAUGAAAUAAUUACUUAUUACAUAGAAUUUUUGGAACAAUUCAAAAUUUUGAAUCAUAACAUAACAACAUAAAAUCAAGGUGUUUCGAAAAUUUUAAGGAAAGAGAUGAUUCAUUCUAAUGAAUUUUAAAGACCAGUUGUAUUUGAAACCAGUUUUCUUUUUCACGUAACUACUCUCGCCAAUUUAACCUUGAUUGCGUGCCGUCGAACAAAAAAAAACUAAUAGAGAUUGGUCAAAGAUAAACAACAAGAGGAAAAGAGCUUCUUCUUUAAACAUUUUUUUCUUUUCGAAUCAUAAACAUGUUUAAACAGGUUCGACCAAUGUUCCAGUUCAUGAAUAUCAAAAGAUAGAUAGUAGUGUAUGUUUCAUAUUCGAAACAUCUAGUGGAGUAUCAAUUAUCAUUAGAAGUUUAUCAAUACAUACAAGAAUAAGAUGAGCAACAAUUAAAAACGACUUUUUUAACGUAGGAGUAAAUUGCAUCUUAUAAAGAGGAAUAACGAGGAAGAAUCAAAUGAAUCCUAACUACACACUUGGAAUUAAUAUCUUGGUAGAUAUAGAAAAUAAAAAGAAAAGUUUUUCAGUCAGUUUUUGCGUCAACCAUUUAGUCAAAUCAAAAUGCUUACGUUGGGAUUUUUCAUAAAAAAGACCAUAAGGAAUUACCUACAUUGUCAUUGGUCAUGUUGCAGUUAAUAUAGUUCAGAGGUACGUGCCAAUAUCACUAAAAAUACAGAGACCGUAGAAUGCGUAGAGAGGUUGCUGUUACGGCUCACGUACGAAAUUAAAUAUUAAUGCAGCUAAAUAAGAGCGAUAUGUAGCCGUUGCUUGUAAAAAAUGUUUAACUUAAUCUGAUAGGAUGCUUAUAUCACGUUAUUAUACACGAGGUUAACAAAUUGCCGGGAGCGCAUUCAGAAAAAAUUGAAAUUGGUGUCAACAUAAAAUAACUUUAAACUUUUUUGGUAUAUCAAUGUAUUUCUCAAAAGAAUUAAGAAAAUAAGAAACAUGCAAUUUAUGAAAAUUUUAGAACAAUGUUAUACCAAAGAAUAUCUACCAGAUAUUAAUACAAUAUCAAGUCUAUCUUCUUCGUUUACGAAAAAGAAGAAAAAGAUGAACAUACGAAUGUGAAUAGUCAGGUGAAAUUAAAGCAGAUUUAUUCAUAUUCAUGUAUGCAUAAAGGAAAGAUAUACUAAUGAAUAAUUAUAAAUGUGCAACUAUUUACCAUUUUGGAGGAGCUUGGAGUAGUGUACGGAUCAACGCGCGAACUCAUAAUAGAGAUGAACGUUCUACACUUCUCGCCAAUUAAAAAGAAACAAACAAAAGGUCAAUGGUAAAAAAAAAGAAAACUUCUCGUCGAGAAGAAGACAAACAUUUAAUCCAACAUUACGAUAGUGGGAAAGAUGAGUAACGAAAUAUUUGAGACACAACUAAAUUACGUUAAAUGUCAGCGGCGAAAGACACCAGUGUACUGAAUAAGAACGCCGCGAUACGACACCGACGAACAUUAACGAGAAACCACGAAGUGAACCGAUGAUCAUCGAACAUUUUCGGUUGUUUGUGGGUAAAACAGAUUAACCGCGCGAAUAAACUUAAAAUUGAAUUGUGUAAAUAACAAAAUAACUUUUCAUUGUUUCAGUGAAUGUCUCGCAAAUAAUGUUUUGCGAAUGUUUCUAGAUUAUAUUUGUUUAAAUACUGAUAUUAAUAUCUAAUUUAAUUUAUUAUGAAUAAGCAUUUUCUAAUAUCUAUUUAUAAAUUACAAUCUAUCUGUCAGAUAUUCAAUAAUUUACUACGAUUUUAAAAAAGAAUAUCAGUAUUAAUCCUGGACUAGUUGUCACAAAUAAGUAGCAAGUUCUUUCGAAAUUAGAUCAGCUUUAAAGUUAUAAAAUUUUUAGAGAUUUUAAAAUAAACUAACCGUGAUCAAACAAGAUCAUUUUCUUGCAAUAACGAUUGCAACAGCUUCGUUUACAUCGUACAUCCACAUCAAAGGAUAGGUGAAAAUAUAAACUAAUGUUCGACCGAUGCUAAAACAAAUUUACCGUCUUUUCAACGAUUUCUAAACAUUUUUGGCAUCUCAAAUUUUGCAUCAAGACGUACGUAACUGUUAAUAGCAUAACAGCAACUAUAAAUGGCACUUUAAAUGGCAAGGUUGCAACAGAAAGUCGAUUUACAAUAUGGAAUCUUCGAAGAGUUCAAUCAUGAAUGGCAAGCCCCAUGAAGAAGUUAGACAUCGAAUAAUGUUCUCUGAUACUGAGAAAAACUCGGAAACAGUUCUUAAUAGUUCACAGGAAAUCCGAUUGAAAAAUCAAUCGUUUCGAGAAAACCUCAGAUAUAGAAUAUAUUCUUGAUUUAGAAUAUAUUUUUGUAUCAUCUCAAAGACUCUAAUAUGGGUAUGAAAGAAUAUUUUAAUCUCUGCAUAUAUAUAUAAAAUUUAUCUAACUAAAUAUAAUAGUUAUCCAUACUUAUUACAAGGAAGAAUAUUAUACUUGUUUCUUACUAUAUUAUCAAAUCUUAUAGAAUUGUAUUAAUGUAUUAAACAAGCCACGAAAGUGUCAACAUUUUGCAAGAACAAAGUAUCUUCACAUGGUUGAAACAAUUAAUUAGUAUCUACGAUGCACGCUGAAGAAGUAAGAAAAUUUCUGCGAAUUUCCAACGGGUGUAGUUACUUCGCCUUAUUGAGAUUAAAAAGAUUCAUAAUAUCGGAUGUUCGUAACAGAUUACUCGCAGUAUCCUGUUAUUAUCCGAGAAUCAUUGUUAUGCUGUUAUGUACAAAUGUAUUUGUGGAUAUAUGCAAUAAUGGCGCAGAUUGGGUCUGAGAAAUUCUACAUUUCAUUUUUACUAUGAAAUAAUGGAAGAUUAUAACGUGACAGAAUUAAAAGAAUUAGAAUUAAAAAUAGAAGAAAUUAUUGAAUUCGUCGAAUCACUUACAAGAACUGUGCUCAGCUCGUCGACGAGUUUCCAUAUUAAUAAGUCGCAGAGGAACCAAUCUAGGAAUUCCAAUGAUUUACCACCAACAGGUUUUCGGAAUUUCUUAUCAGAAAGUUCAUACAAACAACACAAAAUUAUCUUUUCCUCGACUGAAUAAAGUCGACACUUUCGUCGUUAUUUGACGAGAUCUUUUCACUUAAUUUUAUCACAAUACUGACAAAGCCGAAGUUAUUAGUUUGUAUUUUUUGAUUUAAUAGCGUCUCUUCCUACAAUUACAAUAAUUUGAUAAUUUUAUGAAGCAUUCAUGUUCCACAACAGACGACAAAUGAAUACGAAAAUCGAUUCCGUGCAUGAAACGACGCUAAACUGUAUCAUUCAAUGUUUCGAUAAAUUAUAUUUAUCCUUCUAGGUUUAAAUAACAAUAUAUCCCCCACUCAGAAACGGGAAUAUAACAUGGAUACACUCUUUCAUCUGAAGAUAAGAUGAACGAUGGAAAACUAACGGAAACAUAGAGGAACUGAACGAAAAGAAUGCAAUAUCGUUAGAUUCUAUACUUAACCGGCCACGGUACGACGUGCAAUGUCCCGUUCGAGAGAAAGAUAUUAAAGGAAAAGUUAUUCGAGAUUGGAGUAAGCGUAAUUGUUACGGGUUUUGGGUCAUUGGCUCCCGUAUGAAUACAAACAUGCAUAGCUUCAUUUCCGUGUAAAACCUUGGCUCAAUUUUCUGCACUUAAUGGUAUAUACAGACGAAUUACUUAUGUAAUUCAAAGUCAGGAAGGCAUGAUUUCCUUCCAAAGAAAUUAAUUUUCCGCUUGGUGAAUUUCGUAAUAAAACUGAUUCUGCGAUCAAUUAUUUAAAAAUAUGAAAAAGAAAUAAAAAUAUAAUAAUCUUUAUCAUAAUAAAUUAUAAAAUAGUACCGUAUAUUUGCGUCUAUUAUAUUAUGGAAAAAAAAUUGAAUAAAAUCACAUAUCGUGAUAUUAUUAUAUAUAAACGUAAAAAUUGACGUUUAUUCAAUAACUUUGAAGUAGUGUAACACAAUGUUCAAUCGAACAAGUUGUCAAUGGAAUAACAUAUUAACUUAAUGAAUAAACAUGAUACAUAAAUAGAAUAGAUGACGUAAACAAGUGAAAUUGAAUAUGAAAUAAAUGCAAUGGAAAGUGAAAUUUUAAUAUAUUUGAAUAUAUUACCAUUCAUCUACGAUAAUGGUUCACAACAUUAUAUUACAAAAUUCAAAAACUAAACAUUGUCAUGUUGAAAAUUUCGUUUCUUUCGAGAAGAGAAUCGAAGCAAAUCAUUCUUUGUAUUUAGUUAAAUAUGUAUUUACUU